AUGAACGCUGGCGGCGUGCUUAGCACAUGCAAGUCGAACGAUGAAGCCCAGCUUGCUGGGUGGAUUAGUGGCGAACGGGUGAGUAACACGUGAGUAACCUGCCCUUGACUCUGGGAUAAGCGCUGGAAACGGCGUCUAAUACCGGAUACGAGCUUCCACCGCAUGGUGAGUUGCUGGAAAGAAUUUCGGUCAAGGAUGGACUCGCGGCCUAUCAGGUAGUUGGUGAGUGAACGGCUCACCAAGCCGACGUCGGGUAGCCGGCCUGAGAGGGUGACCGGCCACACUGGGACUGAAACACGGCCGAGACUCCUACGGGAGGCAGCAGUGGAGAAUGUUGCACAAUGGGCGCAAGCCUGAUGCAGCAACGCCGCGUGAGGGACGAAGGCCUUCGGGUCGUAAACCUCUUUUAGCAGGGAAGAAGCGAAAGUGACGGUACCUGCAGAAAAAGCACCGGCUAACUACGUG
rnacentral:rRNA from 1 species